rnacentral:rRNA from 1 species
GAUGAACGCUAGCUACAGGCUUAACACAUGCAAGUCGAGGGGAAACGAUGAGAGAGCUUGCUCUCUUAGUCGUCGACCGGCGCACGGGUGAGUAACGCGUAUCCAACCUGCCUCUGACCAAUGGAUAACCCGUCGAAAGUCUGCCUAAUACCUUAUUCAUUCUUCGUAAGUCAUCUGAUGACUACGAAAGAUUUCAUCGGUGAGAGAUGGUGAUGCGUCUGAUUAGCUUGUUGGCGGGUUAACGGCCCACCAAGGCGACGAUCAGUAGGGGUUCUGAGAGGAAGGGACACCACAAUGGAAAAGAGACAAGGACGAAAAUCGUACGGGAGGGAGCAGUGAGGAAUAUUGGUCAAUGGGAGUAAGCAUGAAACAGCCAAGUAGGGUGAAGGAUGACGGCGAUAUGGGUUGUAAACUGCUUUUAUGCGGGGAUAAAGUGAGGGACGUGUCCUUCAUUGAAGGUAACGAAUGAAUAAGGACCGGCUAAUUACGUG